UAUCAAACGUUGGUCCAGUAGAUGGCACA
rnacentral:piRNA from 1 species